rnacentral:rRNA from 1 species
CAGCAUUUCAGUUUGCUUGCAAACUGGAGAUGGCGACCGGCGCACGGGUGAGUAACACGUAUCCAACCGUGCCGAUAACUCGGGGAUAGCCUUUCGAAAGAAAGAUUAAUACCCAAUGGCAGUAAUCAGACCGCAUGGUCUUAUUAUUAAAGAAUUUCGGUUAUCGAUGGGGAUGCGUUCCAUUAGGCAGUUGGUGAGGUAACGGCUCACCAAACCUUCGAUGGAUAGGGGUUCUGAGAGGAAGGUCCCCACAUUGGAACUGGAGACACGGUCCAAACUCC